GCUUCGGGGGACUAGUGGUUAGAGUGACCGCCUCAGAUGCAGCAGGUCGCGGGUUCGAAUCCCGGCCGAGUCA